rnacentral:rRNA from 1 species
UACAGAGGGUGCGAGCGUUGUCCGGAAUCACUGGGCGUAAAGGGCGCGUAGGUGGCGACCCAAGUCGAUGGUGAAAGCUCGCCGCUCAACGGCGAGUCGGCCACCGAUACUGGGUUGCUCGAGCACUGGUAGAGGCUAAUGGAAUUCCGGGUGUAGCGGUGGAAUGCGUAGAGAUCCGGAAGAACGACCGGUGGCGAAGGCGGUUAGCUGGGCAGUUGCUGACACUGAG